UCCAGUCCAGUAGGUGGCGGUAAUGCAACAUAUUGGAUGCCAACCGCCGUUAAACCUCAUAGACGAAGAAGACCUCAUUUCAAGAUGGCUGCUACCUAUGUACCUGUGACCUACCAUUAUUGAUUAUUAAAAACUAAGAAUAUCGAACAGGAACCUAAAAAGAGGAUUUCGACUUGGCCGACGAAGAUUGCUUUCUAGAAGGAUUGGAUCCACUUUUAGAUCUAGUGGAGGAUGCAGAGGAUUUGGAUGAUGACGUUUGGGAGCCACCCCUCCCCAGCAAGCCAAUGCGGAUGGCCAAAGCAAAAGGUCAAACCCCUCUCUCCCAGUUGGCCUUCCCGAGAGCAGCUGGUGUUGGAAAUGGCUGAAUUGGGGUCCCAAAGCAACCUCACAACCAUCACAAGAUGGUAUUGUUCACAUGUUGUGGAAGCCAUCUGAUGUGUUUCCAGCUCUGGUCAUCAAUAACUCACUUAUAGCUUGUCAAUGAAAGAAAUAAAAUAAAAUAACAACUGUUAUUUUGUGUGUGCUUGAUCUUCUGUAUUCUGAACUAUGUAACUCCCAUCUGUCUUCUGAUCAUUUCCUCAUCAUCUCCCAGAUGUCUUCUUUCCAAAUAUACCAAGUUUUUGCAUGUCAGAAUCAUGUAAUUCCACAUGAAUAGCAGUUACCUUUGGGUGUGUCUAUUUAGGCGGAAAUCUACAUUUUGCCAUUACAUUUGAAGAGGUUAACCCCAGUCAUAGAGAUACAUGACUGUGUUUCUACCUACUACAGUAUAUGGAAGUAACAUACUGUGAGUGCCAGAUCACCCUUAACACCACCCAUAGAGACAUACAUGACCCCUGUGUUAGCUAUGGAAGUAACAUACUGUGUGAGUACAACAUUUUAAAGGGAUACUUCGGGAUUUUAGUAGUUUCGCGAGCCAAUGCUAACUAGCGCUAGUGCAGUGACGCGCUAGCAGUUACCUUAGACUUCUAGUCAUUGUGCUAAUGCUAGCCAGCAAUUGCGCUAACGCUAGUUAGCAAUUUCCUUCAAACUGCACGCAUAGAUAUAUUAAUGGUAUCCGUGAGUUCAUCUGACUCUGGGUCAGUAGA